GGGGGGGGGGGGGGGGGGGGGGGGUGGGGGGGGGGGGGGCGCGGGGGCGGGGGGCGUGCGCCUCGGACGUUCGCGGCGGACGGGUGAGUAACGCGUGGAUACCCUGCCUAUAACACGGGGAUAGCUUCGGGAAACCGGAGCUAAUACCUCAUCCUAUCUUCAACCGCAUGGUUCAAUAGUUAACGACUGUUUUGCUGUCCCUUAUAGAUGCAUCCCCGCCGCAUUAGCUCGUUGGUAAGUUAACGGCUUACCAAGGCAACGAUGCGUAGCCGACCUGAGAGGGUGAUCGGCCACACUGGAACUGAGACACGGUCCAGACUCCUACGGGAGGCAGCAGUAGGGAAUCUUCCGCAAUGGGCGAAAGCCUGACGGGGCAACGCCGCGUGAGUGAUGAAGGUCUUCGGAUCGUAAAACUCUGUUAUUAGGGAAGAACAAAUGUGUAAGUAACUAUGCACGUCUUGACGGUACCUAAUCAGAAAGCCACGGCUAACUACGUG
rnacentral:rRNA from 1 species